UCUAAUCACGGACACGUUGCUAGGCAACACACACGUCAUCACAGAGCCUCUCACGUGACUCACCAGGAAGUCCUGAUCACAGACGCCGGGAACAGCUUGCCUUCCUCCUGCAUGCUAUUUAAAAGGUCAGAUCUUCUAGCCUCAAGGCAGUGUUCCAGCAACUAGGAGACAACAUUGGACACAAAUGAAACAGACAGGAAGAGUAGCACCAGAUACUGUAUGUAACUGGAUGCCAGUUUAGGAAAACGACACAGACAAGAUAAAUCCUGACACGUAAUCCUGGAAAAUGUAAUCAAUGCAGAGUGAUUUGGAACACACAGCUAUUUGCUCAUACGGUAGCACUAAGGGAGUACCCAGCAAAUAACCACGAAUCAGGAUAAAUAAUCACAGGAUGUAUAAAGUGCUAUUAUCCGGUGUGUCAGGCAAUCCACUUACGCCAAUGACUGCAGUACAUUGAGCACCUAUAAUGGGUGCAGUGAGUGCGGUGUACACGGGCCCCUGGGGCCAUGGGGGCCCACAUCGCACACACUACACCCAUGUUUAAUUACUUACCUUUCCGGGGUCCCGCAUCAUCUGCGCUGCAGCCAGGACAAAAAUCACCGGCAAAAUGGCCACCGCACCUGCGCAGUAGUGAUUUGUCACUGGAAUAUGGCUGAUGCCAUGUUUCAGAAGAUCUGAGCAUGUGCAGUAGGCUCUGGUGCAAUGCCAGAGUCUACUGUGCUAUGCAGAAAAGGGGGGCCCCUGGGAGUCUGCACAAGGCCCCCCCCCCCCCCUCUGUUAAAAUGCCCCUGACUGCUGUACCAGUUGUCCACUCACUAAAUGAUGGAAUCACAUGGCAAUUGAAACAACUGAGUGAGUAUGUAGUGUGUCAUACAAAAUGUUGACAGAAUGUUACCAUGGUGUUAAUGUUAACAUACAUAAUGUUGACAUGGGUGCAGGGCCGGUGCUAUGGUGUCCGGUGCCCUCCUGCAAACUGUAAAUUUGCGCCCUCCCUCAGACACAGAUGGGGGCAGGUGAUACAGUAACUGGGACGGAACACAGGCGGGAGGGUUGACACAGUGGGGGAGAUUCAAUUGUUUGAAAAGUCGGUUGGGUGUCUGUUUUUCCUAUCUAAUAGACAGGAGAAACCAGACACCCAACCGACUUUUCAAACAUUUGAACUCCCCCCAAUGACUGGGACAGAACACAGGGGUGAUGACACAAUGGCUGGGACAGAAUACAAAGAGGGGUGACAUAGUGACUGGGACAUAACACAGGAGUCGUGUCAGUGGCUGGGACAGAACACAGUGACAGAACAGGGAGGAGUGACAGAACACAGGGUGGUGACAAUGGCUGGGAUAGAAUACAGAGGGGGGUGACAUAGUGACUGGGACAGAACACAGAAGUCGUGCCACUGGAUGGGACAGAACACACAGAGGGAGUGACGAUAACAGAACACGUGGGGGUGGGGUGACAGUGACUGGGGCAGAAUGUAGAGGGGUGUGUGUGACACUGACAGAACACAGGGUGGUGACAACGGCUGGAGGUGACAUAGUGACUGGGGCAGGAUGCAGAAGAGUUGUGUGACACUGACAGAACACGGGGGGGGGGGGUUACACUGUGAGAACACAAGGGUGGUGACACAGUAAGAAGUUGCUGUGUCCCAAAUGGCUUGUGACCUCACCUCCCAGAAUCCUAACAGGUCCCUCUACUGUGUCCCACUCCACUGUUGUUGCCUCAUAGUAGUGUGCGGUUUCCAUGGUGACCUGGAGUUAAGUGUAUGUUAAUACAGCUGCUUGCGCCCACGUUCCCUCCUCCUGCACAUUGACCAACUGCACUCACUCAGAGCCGCGACCAUCAGCGCCCGUUUGGAAUGCCGAGUUUCUGUCUAAAGUGCUACCCGUUUCAGCACACGGACUGUGCGCUGACACCUGCAGCUGUGAGGACUCUAGG